GUGAAUUAAUUACAAUGCAAUGUACUGUACAACAUUUUCCUUUGAGUUCUAUAAAUCAUUAAUGUUCGAUCAUGUCGGAUCGUAUUUGACAUAUUGUCAGACCAACCAAGAUGCACCUCCCACACGAAAAAACGUGUCAUUUUUUCGUGUUAAAACAUUCAGCAAUGCGAUUUGAUUCCUGUCUAUUACAGCUCCCUUCUCUCCUACAUUUACUUUAAAUUGUGUAUUUGUCGGAAAUUUGAACUGAAAAGGACGACAAUAUUGCAAAUACAAACGUAUUGCACUAUUGCUGAUCUUUUAACAUGCAAAAAGAAAGUUGUCAUCGCCGAAAUUUGUCC